AUUGAACGCUGGCGGCAUGCCUUACACAUGCAAGUCGAACGGCAGCACGGGUGCUUGCACCUGGUGGCGAGUGGCGAACGGGUGAGUAAUACAUCGGAACAUGUCCUGUAGUGGGGGAUAGCCCGGCGAAAGCCGGAUUAAUACUGCAUACGAUCUACGGAUGAAAGCGGGGGACCUUCGGGCCUCGCGCUAUAGGGUUGGCCGAUGGCUGAUUAGCUAGUUGGUGGGGUAAAGGCCUACCAAGGCGACGAUCAGUAGCUGGUCUGAGAGGACGACCAGCCACACUGGGACUGAGACACGGCCCAGACUCCUACGGGAGGCAGCAGUGGGGAAUUUUGGACAAUGGGCGAAAGCCUGAUCCAGCAAUGCCGCGUGUGUGAAGAAGGCCUUCGGGUUGUAAAGCACUUUUGUCCGGAAAGAAAUCCUUGGCUCUAAUACAGUCGGGGGAUGACGGUACCGGAAGAAUAAGCACCGGCUAACUACGUG
rnacentral:rRNA from 1 species